AGCUGCAUGCACAGGCAGGGCUGCUGCUUAGCUGGUGACAGCCAUGCUUGGACAAAGGAUACCCAGAGGAGGAGGAUGGCUCUGUGCCACACAGGUACCCCAGAAAAGAGAGAGACAGAUUCCCUUGGAGAGUGCAAGAUGGGAGUACACUGGGUGAGGUUCAUCAGUCCUGAGGUUCUACAGAUUUUUGUGCAUCUUAACUAGUUUUGUUAUAAACAUGAAAAGAGGAAAAAUAAUCUAGGCUGGAAAAGUUUUGAGUUUUUUGAAAAAGAAGUUUCAAUGGAAAAGGAAGGGUUAAGCAGGGAUGCCAACCAGGGAUGUGUUACAGGGAAAAGUAAAAUUAAUUCAGUAAGGUGCUGCCUUUAUUCUAUCAUGGGGUUCAUCUUACGGCUGUUGUCUUUUCACUCCCUCGUUUUUUCAAAAGCUCCGAUUUCCAUGUGAGAGCCCUGGGAGGGCACCUAAGCAAUUAAUUUCACAUGGUAAAAGCACCUUCCUCUCAAGGUUGUAAAAGCAGAAAUUAGACAUAACACCCUUCUAAGGCAUCUUUCUCAGGGUGGAAGGAAGCAGGUGUUUAGUGUUACAUUAAUUUUAAACCCAUAAUUAGUGUAACUUGAGUCCUGGACCUCAUCCAGUUUAAUUCAUUGUAUUCCUGCAAACGAGACUCCCCUGCUGAUUUUGUGUGAAUGCAGCCGGCCAGAUCUUCAGCUACCUAAGUCUUUCCUUAGGAUGCUUGGGGUGCAGGAAACGAGGUGUCAGGGAGGUGCCAUAUGGAUUUCUAUAUAGCCUCUGCAACAGAGGUGUGGCUGACACGGGCUGUGCUCCGGCUGCUUGCUGGCCAUGAAAAGGGUGUUGGUGGCCCACAGGUGAUAGGUAUAAGAGGGAGCUGCCUUUGGCUCCUCUCACUGCUCAACGCCCUCCAAGAUAUAAGCUCAUUAGAAGUUGCUUAAUGAGCUUUUUGCUGCAUGCUUUCUUCGUCCUCAAUCAAAUGGAUCUCCUCUGGAGUGCUUACAUUUGAUGGUGGAUUUUCCAUUUCCCACUCUAUCUUGUACAGCUGUGCUGGUGUGGUUGCCUCUGCUGGAAUGGGAGCUAUAGCUGUUGGCAGGGAGGAGGCAUUGCAAGCACCUCUUAUUUUAUCUAGUUUGGAGAAACAAACCACCAGGAUUAGCACUGAAUAAAGCAAGUUGGACUGCUAUAACAAAUGGCAUAAGGGAUUGCUUUUGUUUGCCCUUUUGGAAGCAAACUGAUACCACUGGGAAGUACUUUGUGUUGGAAGGGUACCUGGCCCAAGCCCAGUGUACAUAGGCAGCCGAAGGCUUUCCACAAGGAGAUUCCUGUGGGUUUCUGUGGAGAGCCCAUCUCCCCUAGCCACCAGCCCUCACCAUCCAGUCAGGAGACAGGCCUGAGGUAAAACCACUGCCUUCCUCCUCCUGACAGAGAAAUCCUCCUUCACUCUGGCCCCGACUGAAAGCUGAAAUAUGUGCUUCCCGUGCCGUGGCUUGAGCUCCUCAGGAAAACUUCAGCUACAUCCAAAUUAAUAACUGAACGCAAGCAUCCCAGACUAAGACCGAGCUUACUGUGGGAACGACUGGAUGCUGGCAGAGAGAUUGGCUGCCGCAGGAGGUGAGGACGGCCAAGCCAAACAACCGCCGUCUGGUCCCAUGUCCUCCUCCUCCUUGUGAGCAGCAGCUCUUCCACUGCUCACUAUGAGGCCGGGAUAGGGGUAACCUGGUCAUUGGCCCCACUAGCCAAGGGCUGAGCCCUUUCCACACCUGGCUCUACCAGGACUUUGGGAUCUAAUGUGCCCCAGAGACGCAGGAUACUCAAUGCGCCUGGCUGCGUGUACUAUAAAUCGCUUUCACUUUCUUGCUCCAGCCGUGGGAAUUUGCAUACAAAAAACCCUAUUAGGCCCCAUCAAAGGAUAUUUAGAUGGCUGGUGUUAAAUAACCAGAAGCAGACGGUUUAGUUCUGAGUAGAACUUGUUUCCCACUUAAAAGUGAAACAGUGUCAUAGGAAGGUUUCCCUAACCUGUUAGUAACAGUUUUACUUCUUUGCUUGCUAAGUCUUCACCACAAUGUUAAAACUGAAUUUUGGUAAUGACAGGACGUUGAGUUUCAGGAAAGGUAAAAUUUCAUGCUCCUCUUUUCAGUGUUAAAUAUUUUUAUAUAAGGUGUUGAGCAUUAUUUAUAGAUGCAU